GACGAACGCUGGCGGCGUGCUUAACACAUGCAAGUCGAACGGAAAGGCCUCUUUCGGGGGGUACUCGAGUGGCGAACGGGUGAGUAACACGUGAGUAACCUGCCCUUGACUUUGGGAUAACUUCAGGAAACUGGGGCUAAUACCGGAUAGGAGCUCCUGCUGCAUGGUGGGGGUUGGAAAGUUUCGGCGGUUGGGGAUGGACUCGCGGCUUAUCAGCUUGUUGGUGGGGUAGUGGCUUACCAAGGCUUUGACGGGUAGCCGGCCUGAGAGGGUGACCGGCACAGGUGGGGAUGGGAGCGGGCCCAGACCCCGCCGGGGGGAAGGGGGGGGGAUAUUUGAAAAAGGGGGGGAAGCCAUAGGCAACACCCGCGGGGGGGGGAGGGGGGCCUGGGGGUUGGAACCGGUUUUGCCCCAGGGCAAAACUUGGGGGGAGGGUGGGGGGUAAAGAACAACGGGCGAACGCGGUG
rnacentral:rRNA from 1 species